rnacentral:snoRNA from 1 species
ACUAUUUGUGAUGAUUAUCAUACCGCCCCAGGCUGAAACCUGUGACUGAUUGGAUUUAAUCUGAUAAC